UACGGAGGGAGCUAGCGUUGUUCGGAAUUACUGGGCGUAAAGGGCGCGUAGGCGGCCCUCCUUGUCGCGUGUGAAAGCCCCGGGCUCAACCUGGGAAUUGCGCGCGAAACGGGGGGGCUUGAGUUCGGGGAGAGGAGCGUGGAAUUCCCAGUUGUAGAGGUGAAAUUCGUAGAUAUCGGGAGGAACACCGGUGGCGAAGGCGGCGACCUGGGUCGAGACUGACGCUGAGGCGCGAAAGCGUGGGGAGCAAACAGG
rnacentral:rRNA from 1 species